rnacentral:rRNA from 1 species
CCAGACUCCUACGGGAGGCAGCAGUGAGGAAUAUUGGUCAAUGGUCGUAAGACUGAACCAGCCAAGUAGCGUGCAGGAUGACGGCCCUAUGGGUUGUAAACUGCUUUUAUGCGGGGAUAAAAUGCGUCACGUGUGAUGUUUUGUAGGUACCGCAUGAAUAAGGACCGGCUAACUCCGUGCCAGCAGCCGCGGUAAUACGGAGGAUGCGAGCGUUAUCCGGAUUUAUUGGGUUUAAAGGGUGCGCAGGCGGAGGUGCAAGUCAGCGGUCAAAUUGCGGGGCUCAACCCCGUACUGCCGUUGAAACUGCAUCCCUUGAGUGCGCGAGAAGUAUGCGGAAUGCGCGGUGUAGCGGUGAAAUGCAUAGAUAUCGCGCAGAACUCCGAUUGCGAAGGCAGCGUACCGGCGCCAGACUGACGCUGAGGCACGAAAGCGUGGGGAUCGAACAGGAUUAGAUACCCUGGUAA